rnacentral:rRNA from 1 species
AUUGAACGCUGGCGGCAGGCCUAACACAUGCAAGUCGAGCGAGCGGCGGACGGGUGAGUAAUGUAUGGGGACUGCCCGAUAGCGGGGGAUAACUACUGGAAACGGUGGCUAAUACCGCAUACUAUCGGAUAACCCAUAUGGGAUUAGCUAGUAGGUAAGGUAAUGGCUUACCUAGGCGACGCGCCCUAGCUGGUCUGAGAGGAUGAUCAGCCCCACUGGGCCUGCGACACGGCCCAGACUCCUACGGAGGCAGCAGUGGGGAAGAUUGCACAAUGGGCGCAAGCCUGAUGCAGCCAUGCCUCGUGUAUGAAGAAGGCCCUAGGGUUGUAAAGUACUUUCAGUCGGGAGGCGUUACCGACAGAAGAAGCACCGGCUAACUCCGUGCCAGCAGCCGCGGUAAUUC